rnacentral:rRNA from 1 species
ACGGGGGGAGCAAGCGUUGUUCGGAUUUACUGGGCGUAGAGGGCGCGUAGGCGGCCACCGCAAGUCAGUUGUGAAAUCUCCGAGCUUAACUCGGAAAGGUCAACUGAUACUGCGGGGCUAGAGUGCGGAAGGGGCAACUGGAAUUCUCGGUGUAGCGGUGAAAUGCGUAGAUAUCGAGAGGAACACCGGUGGCGAAGGCGGAUCUCUGGGCCUUGCCUGACGCUGAGGCGCGAAAGCUAGGGGAGCGAACAGGA